rnacentral:sRNA from 1 species
GUUGGAGGUGACUAAGGGACCUUAGGGCGUGACAACUCUCUACAAAGCCAAGAUUUGUUUUCCUAUUAGCGAAAAGAUGGUGUCGAACCACGCAGUCAAUAUUCUACGACACCACUAUUAUUCAAUAAUUUCAGCAAAAAUAUGAUGACCUCUCACCCAAACAGCUUAUAUGGACUUCGUACAAACGUGAUGAGAUUUGUUAGAUGAUUGAAGUCGAAUUACCCCCCACUUGUUGGGCAGUAGUGCCUCUCAU